rnacentral:rRNA from 1 species
UACGUAGGGGGCAAGCGUUGUCCGGAUUUAUUGGGCGUAAAGAGCGUGUAGGCGGCUAGGUAGGUGGGUUGUGAUAACUGGAGGCUCAACCUUCAGACGUCGACCCAAACCCCCUGGCUAGAGUCCGGAAGAGGAGAGUGGAAUUCCUGGUGUAGCGGUGAAAUGCGUAGAUAUCAGGAAGAACACCGGUGGCGAAAGCGCUCUGCUAGGCCGCAACUGACACUGAGGGACGAAAGCUAGGGGAGCGAAUGGG